rnacentral:lncRNA from 1 species
CGAAGCAUUUCUCACUUGAAAAAUAAUCAGCUUCAUCGUUCAUCCGUCAUCGGCUUUUGCAAUAUCCUCGAGUUAGCCUGAUGCAUUAGUCGUCUCGCGAAAGCUGGAAGCCAUGUACCAUUUUUCAUACCCUCUAAUCUAGACAGAUGUCAAUUUGUCAUAAUUUUAUUUCAAUGAGUAGAUAGUGAUGGAUGCUUCGGGAAGAUAGUUGUAAUCUAAUCGACUCGGGUGAUUAACCGCGCGUCUUUCAGGGGGAUUAUAUAAGACAAUGCGAACGAAUUUCAUAUUUUACAAUACGGAUUUUCGCGCCGCGCGAAUAUGUCGACCGAUAGUACUCAGGGAAUCUUCGCCGGAACCGAGGCCGGAAAUGCAGGGCCUAAUCGGAGAUCUCGUCAAAUAAUUCUCGGUUGGGACCGGUUCAGUUUCUCGACCGUGCUUGCACUUACAGGGUCCUUUCUCAUUUGGGGUAUCGUCUACUUUUCCUUCUACGAACCCGGGGAGGUGGAGCCUUGUCACUGACGGGAGGAAGUAACGUGUGAACGAGGAGGAGAAGGAUGGAGUUUUGUUUCACGGUUAUUCAACGCCCGGAAGUCACGAUACCGGCUUUAAUCGAGAUUUGACUAUCUCUGACGCAGGCGGGCAGUUUCCGAACCGAAAAUCAUCGACCAGUGAUAACUCAUCGAAAAUCUAAUCCUCUUCUCAUCCCCUCGACGAACUCGGCGCGAAAAAUGGAUCAUCUCUUAGGAUUACUCGAUGCGACGAAAGUUACGCGGAGGACAAAUGCGCGAUAAUACGGAAAGGGAGUUAAUUGAAACACUUGAAACACUUGAAGCACAAAAUAUGUAAGACCAAAUCCCAGCCACGCCGUAUAUUCAUGGAUUUGAAUCUUUCGACUAUUGUUUAACGCUCGAAUAAAGUGAAAUAAGAUAAUCACGAA